rnacentral:rRNA from 1 species
UACGGAGUGUGCAAGCGUUACUCGGAAUCACUGGGCAUAAAGGGCGUGUAGGCGGGCUUUCAAGUCGGUUGUGAAAUCCCUCAGCUCAACUGAGGAACUGCAUCCGAUACUGUUUGUCUUGAGGACGAGAGGGGAGAGUGGAACUUCUGGUGGAGCGGUGAAAUGCGUAGAUAUCAGAAGGAACGCCGGUGGCGAAAGCGACUCUCUGGCUCGUAUCUGACGCUGAAAACGCGAAAGCUUGGGUAGCAAACGGG